rnacentral:tRNA from 1 species
GGAAAGGUGACCGAGUGGUUUAAGGUGUAGCAUUGGAAAUGCUAUGUAGAAUUCCGUCUACCGAGGGUUCGAAUCCCUCCCUUUCCU